UACAGAGGUCUCAAGCGUUGUUCGGAUUCAUUGGGCGUAAAGGGCGCGUAGGCUGCGGGGCAAGUCGGGUGUGAAAUCUCAGAGCUCAACUCUGAAACUGCACUCGAUACUGCUUUGCUUGAGGACUGGAGAGGAGAUUGGAAUUCACGGUGUAGCAGUGAAAUGCGUAGAUAUCGUGAGGAAGACCAGUGGCGAAGGCGGAUCUCUGGACAGUUCCUGACGCUGAGCCGCGAAAGCGUGGGGAGCGAUCCGG
rnacentral:rRNA from 1 species